rnacentral:rRNA from 1 species
CGGGCGGCGUGGAUUAGGCAUGCAAGUCGAGCGAGAAGGGUUUGGUGCUUGCAUUAAACCUGGAAAGCGGCGAAAGGGAGAGUAACGCGUAGGGUACCUACCUCUAGGCCUGGGAUAGCGGCGGGAAACUGCCGGUAAUACCGGAUAAUGUCUCCGGACCAAAGGUGAGAUUCCGCCUAGAGACGGUCCUGCGUCCUAUUAGCUUGUUGGUGGGGUAAUGGCCUACCAAGGCUUAGAUGGGUAGCGGGCGUGAGAGCGUGGCCCGUCUCACUGGGACUGAGACACUGCCCAGACGUCUACGGACGGCUGCAGUCGAGAAUCUUCCGCAAUGGACGCAAGUCUGACGGAGCGACGCCGCGUGCGGGAUGAAGGCCUUCGGGUUGUAAACCGCUGUCAGUGGGGUGGAAAUGCAUGAGGGUUAUCCCUUGUGUUUGACCUAACCGCAGAGGAAGUCCGGGCUAAGUACGUGCCAGCAGCCGCGGUAAU